rnacentral:rRNA from 1 species
AGUCAACAUGCCCAGAGGACGUGGAUAACCUCGGGAAACUGAGGAUAAACCGCGAUAGGUCAUAAUUACUGGAAUGUGUUAUGGCCCAAAUCUAUAUGGCCUCUGGAUUGGACUGCGGCCGAUCAGGCUGUUGGUGAGGUAAUGGCCCACCAAACCUUUUACCGGUACGGGCUCUGAGAGGAGGAGCCCGGAGAUGGGCACUGAGACAAGGGCCCAGGCCCUAUGGGGCGCAGCAGGCGCGAAACCUCUGCAAUAGGCGAAAGCCUGACAGGGUUACUCUGAGUGAUUCCCGCUAAGGGAAUCUUUUGGCAUCUCUAAAAAUGGUGCAGAAUAAGGGGUGGGCAAGUCUGGUGUCAGCCGCCGCGGUAAUACCAGCACCCCGAGUGGUCGGGACGAUUAUUGGGCCUAAAGCAUCCGUAGCCGGUCUUGCAAGUCUUCCGUUAAAUCCAGCUGCUUAACAGAUGGGCUGCGGAGGAUACUACAAGGCUAGGAGGCGGGAGAGGCAAGCGGUACUCAGUGGGUAGGGGUAAAAUCCUCUGAUCCAUUGAAGACCACCAGUGGCGAAGGCGGCUUGCCAGAACGCGCUCGACGGUGAGGGAUGAAAGCUGGGGGAGCAAACCGGAUUAGAUACCCGGGUAGUCCCAGCUGUAAACGAUGCAGACUCGGUGAUGGGCCGGCUUUAUGCCGGCUCAGUGCCGCAGGGAAGCCGUUAAGUCUGCCGCCUGGGGAGUACGGUCGCAAGACUGAAACUUAA